rnacentral:rRNA from 1 species
UACGGAGGGAGCUAGCGUUGUUCGGAAUUACUGGGCGUAAAGCGCACGUAGGCGGCUUUCUAAGUCGGGGGUGAAAUCCUGGAGCUCAACCUCCAGAACUGCCUUCGAUACUGGAGAGCUCGAGUCCGGGAGAGGUGAGUGGAACUGCGAGUGUAGAGGUGAAAUUCGUAGAUAUUCGCAAGAACACCAGUGGCGAAGGCGGCUCACUGGCCCGAUACUGACGCUGAGGUGCGAAAGCGUGGGGAGCAAACAGG